GCCUCCUGGCCGCCACCACAGCGCCCCGGGAACUGCGGGUUACCCAGGCGGCCAGCCCUCACCCCCGGUCCUGGCCCUCAGGCAGCGGUCCGCGAGGAGGCGGCAGCCACCCCACUGGAUAGUUCUGGCGACCUGUGCCUGAGGACUGGGGCCGAAGGGCGGCGUGGGAGCAGGAGUGAUCGGGCGGGUGAGUGCCUAGCUCUCCUGCAGAGGUGAGCUGGCGGCAGGGCGACUGGAGCAACUCGGUGCCCAGUGCCAGUGCCAGCACUCCGUUCCUCCUCCCCCCAUGACAGCUGAAGAGAGACGGUCUCUAAGCCUGACCUCCAACUGAGAGGAGACAAAUGCCACUUUAGCUUCUUAGCCCCGGCACUAUUCAGAAAGUUACCCUGUGAUUUUUGUCUUUCUCUCAUAAAUUACUAGAGGUACAGGACCAAAAAUGCACGUUCAUUCUGAAAGACCCUCAGCCUGAAACACAGUGAAUUAAAGGACUGUUUAGAACACCUAGAGGGAAUCUUGUUGUUGUUGUUGUUUUCAAUCCCAAACAGUUCAGAAAAUCCACUUGAGAUCUUAAGCGAUGCCUCAAAAGAAUAAAACUCCCCAGAUUUGGGUGUAGGCUCGGUAAAUUAGGUUUCAGGGAAAUGUUUUUGCCAUCUGCUGUAGAAACAUUAUGAGAACUUCAGGUGUUAGGAUGUGGGUUUGGAAUUUUCUGUGUUGUCUUUAAUCCUCACAGACAUGAAAACAGCUUGGUAAUGCCCCGCAAGCGAGCAAAGGUUAUCCUUGCCACCACAGCACCUGUGAAAGCACAAGUGGAACUCACAUAUUUUCCUUCCUGAGUUCUAAAAUGGCUUCUGAACUGUCCAGAGGUACCAGCAUAUACGGGGGCGGGAGAGGGGGGUGGCCACCGGGAACAGGAGAGUUUGUACACUUAAAAACACACACACACACACAUAUUAUUAUAUUAAAAUUUUUGCAUCUAACUUUCCCCUAUCCUCAUCUUCAUCAAUCCAAGAAGAAUUUUAGUGCAGGCCUACUUAAUAAUUUUUAAUAUACUGCCUUUUUCUCUUCCCUCACCACCACCCCAAACACACACACACACACAGACACACACACACACACACACACACACACCCCAGCCAAAAACAUCAACUCUUUAAGGGAAGAAGUAAGAAACUACCAAUCCUUAUCCAACUACACGUCAUUUAUUUUGAGCACUAAUAAAUCCUACAAUCAAUGCUAUGAAAAAAAUAGUUCACCAAGACCUCAAACACCUUUAACGGGUGUAAUUAGUGAUGUUGUCUUUUAACAUGAAAUCAAUGGGACAGAUUCUGGAAUUGAUAGGUGAAAAACUCAAAAUUCUUCCUGGAAGUAUUUGGAGACAGAGGCUUCUGCUCCUUGUAUUUCAUCGUACAAUAGUCUUUUAGGAAAAAAACAGAUACUUUUUCUUGACCAUAUAUAAAGCAGUAUCAUGUAGACCAAUUUUAUUUUAGUUAUAUGCCUUAAAUCUUCAAAUUACUUACAUGAAUAGUGAAAAUUCACAUAUAAAGGAAGACUGCCAACAUCUUUUAAUGUUGAAUUUUUAAUUUAGAAAUUCAACCAAAUUAUCAUAACCAUAUUAAAAUACAGUCCCCUCCUGUGUUCCCUUCAGUGUUCUGUUUGCUUAAGCUGUUGAAAAAGAAGUCUUCCCUGAGUUUAAAAAGUAUGCUUUGGAUACCUGACUUCCUAAAAUAAAAAAUAACUCACUGAUAUUUAGGAAUAAUUAUUCUAUCAUUUGACAAUUCUGUAUAUAGCUAAUGUAACAGUACCUCCUUCUUACAUUUUGGAAUUAUUAUAUUGUACAUUUUGGGCUCCUUGGAGCCCACAUAGUUCAUGUUCCAUAGUUUUCUCCCCUAGAUGUUUUUGUUAAAAAGUAACUGCCUCCAAUGAUACAGCAACAUUCUGAUGCCCAUUCUGCUAAUUCAAACACUUAAGACCAAACCUAUUCAGACUAUUUAAAAAUGACAUGUGUUUCUUCUAUUGUCAAAGUUUAGAACACAUAUGAAUAAAUAAAAUCAUUUGGAAGCCUAGAAUAGU
rnacentral:lncRNA from 1 species